AGGUUUCCUUUUUAAAAGCCCAUUUAAUCUCACUGUUGUUUAUUAAAGAAGCCUUAUCCUUUUCUAUGCGAUGGGAAGCUGCCAAAAACCUAGAACUCAAGCAGAGUAGAUUGCAAUGGUGGCUGAAGAUGAACUGCAAGUAGCUGUUUUACUACAUCAAAUCACACAAGCAACGGAAGAUGUCAAUCUACAAUGACAACUCAUUAUGAACAUCAAGGACAUGGAAAUCCCUAUCAUUACAGGCCCACAUUAAUGGAAAAUAUUUUUAUACUAUGGAACAUGAUACAAGCCUAAUAAUAAAAAAGAGCUAUUCUUCAACUGGGAAAAACCCUCAUGCCACGAGGAUAUCAAAUUUGCAAGACUGAAUUUGAAAACUUAACAUAUAAGGUUGGUAAUUUCUCCAACUUUAAAAAAAAAAAUGACUUAAUAUGGAUUUAAUAUUGAUUUUUUUUUUUCAUGACUUUAAAGAGCAUAUUAAUACAAGAAUGCUACUGUUCAAGAGUCGAAAAUACAAGCAUAAAAUGCAAUACUGUAGAUGUUUGCUCAAACUCAAAGGUCCCCUACUAUACAACAAGAUCAACUGUUGACUGAGACUUCUAAUCUGGACCACGUGACUGAAAAAGAUAAGGGCAUUCAAACUCGUUAACAUAUUAAACCAAGGAUAACAACACAAUUGCAUAUAUUAUGUCUUAGAAUGUAAAAUAUACUUCUAUUUGCAGGAUCUAUUUAUUGAUUACAUGUGCAACCUGCUUGAUCAAAUGAAACCAAAGAAAUACAAAAAGGUGAUAAGGUAUAAGUUCUUGAAGGUAAUGAUCUCAUUCCAACCAUAUAUAUGGGAAAAGAAGAGACUUAAGGGGAAUGCAAAGUCAGAUAUGAAAGCAUAUAUUGCCAACCUCCAACAACUGAAGCAGUUAAUCCAGGUCAGCAGCAGGAGAGACACCUACCACAUGGUUUGAUCUUUAUCAUUUUUCUAUGAACCAGGUAUGGUUAUCAUAUUUAAAGUCAACAUUUCUAUUAACCUUGGAAUUUUUUAUCUUGGUUCCCUUAUUUUGUCUACCACAUGUGCUUCUUUCACUGUUGCAAUUUGUAGGUGUCUCUCCUCUUACUGACCUGGAUCAAUUGCUUCAGUUGAUGGAGGUUGGCAAUAUAUGUUCUCAUAUCUAACUCUACAUUCCCCUUGAGUCUCUGCUUUUCCCAUAUAUAUAUGGCUGAAAUGAGAUCCUUCCUUUCAAGAACUUCUACAAAUAACCUUCUUUGUAUUCCUUUGGUUUCAUUCGAUCAAGUAGGUUGCACAUGUAAUCAAUAAAUAGAUCUUGCAAAUAGAAGUAUAUUUUAGAUUUAAAGACAAAUAAUGUAUGCAAAUAUAUUGUUGUCCUUGAUUUAAUA